AUACAGAGGGUGCGAGCGUUAAUCGGAAUUACUGGGCGUAAAGCGCGCGUAGGCGGCUACUUAAGUCAGAUGUGAAAUCCCCGGGCUCAACCUGGGCACUGCAUCUGAUACUGGGUUGCUAGAGUUUUGGAGAGGGAAGUAGAAUUUCAGGUGUAGCGGUGAAAUGCAUAGAGAUCUGAAGGAAUACCAGUGGCGAAGGCGACUUCCUGGCCAAAACUGACGCUGAGGUGCGAAAGCGUGGGUAGCAAACGGGAUUAGAAACCCUAGUAGUCC
rnacentral:rRNA from 1 species